GACGAACCGUGCGAACGUUGUCCGGAUUUAUUGGGCGUAAAGAGCUCGUAGGCGGUUUGUCGCGUCGAAUGUGAAAACCCGGGGCUCAACUCCGGGCCUGCAUUCGAUACGGGCAGACUAGAGUUCGGUAGGGGAGACUGGAAUUCCUGGUGUAGCGGUGAAAUGCGCAGAUAUCAGGAGGAACACCGGUGGCGAAGGCGGGUCUCUGGGCCGAUACUGACGCUGAGGAGCGAAAGCGUGGGGAGCGAACAGG
rnacentral:rRNA from 1 species